rnacentral:lncRNA from 1 species
GGAUGUGCCGGCCUCGCGGCUUGUCCGAUUUGCACGGUGACUUGAUUACACGCUCGCAUUCAUGGUCACUUCCGAAGCGCUUUAGUGCCUUCCGUCCCCAAACCGCCAACAGCCAGGGCGGCCUCUCCCCGCGGUUUGUCAAAUGAUCCGCAGGGCCCGGAAGAGCCUUCGUCUCACCCGGGAUCCAC